UUGUUCUUUACUGGGAUUGUUGAACACAUAAUACUGUCUUGUAACAAUAUUUGCCAGAAAUAUUUGAUUUACAAUGUUUGCACUAUAGAAGUAAUGGAAAGCAAUACACAUAAUACUAUCAAAUUCUAAAAAUGCGAUAUUUCAUUUUUUGCAACAACUGGCUCAUUAUAUUUUUUGCCAGAAAUAUUCAAUUUACAGUAUUUGCUCUAUAGAAGUAAUGGAUGAACUUCUGCUGACAAGUAUACUUAUCUACAUCAACAUAUUUUAAGUUAUAAUUUUUCCGUAUUUACAUACAUUGUAUUGAAGAGUGUGCUCCUGAGAGAAUUGUACAAAAAUUUACUGUAAAUAUCAUAUAAAUUAUAUAUACAUAAUCUCCACAAAACUUUAUAUAUAUCUUGCCUAACUGCACAACAAUAUUUGAUAUUAUAUAAGGACAUUCAGUCUCUAUACACAUUUUAUGAUUUUAAAAUGAAAUUUGUUUAUUUGUAAUAAAAGCCCUAGUAUGAUAGCAUUAUGAAUGCUGGUGAUUGGAAGAAUAAUCAUAAGAAUUUUUGGUUGCUUUGUAGGUCUUUUUCUUAAUUUGUGGCUUCACUCAGAAUUUCUUGUCAAAUGCACAAUCUCUUCUGCAUUCCUGUGGACCUCAAGAAAAAUUAAAUUCAAUUUGAUUCAUUUAAUGUUGAUCAAAUGAAAUGUCUUUUGCAGAACCCUAGCUAAUCAUUUAUCUGGAUGAUUUUUGGUCUAGAUCACCAGAAAUAUAAUGGUAGACCUACAUUUUUUGUCGAGCCUUCAAUUU
rnacentral:lncRNA from 1 species